AUUGAACGCUGGCGGCAGGCUUAACACAUGCAAGUCGAACGAGUGGCGGACGGGUGAGUAAUGCUUGGGAAUCUCGCUUAUGGAGGGGGAUAACUACGGGAACCUGUAGCUAAUCCCGCGUACCAUAGGAUGAGCCCAAGUGGGAUUAGCUAGUAGGUUGGGUAAAGGCUCACCUAGGCGACGAUCUCGAGCUGGUCUGAGAGGAUGAUCAGCCACACUGGGACUGAGACACGGCCCAGACUCCUACGGGAGGCAGCAGUGGGGAAUAUUGCACAAUGGGCGAAAGCAGGAUGCAGCCAUGCCGCGGGUAUGAAGAAGGCCUUAGGGUUGUAAAGUACGUUCAGCGGGGAGGCGUUACCCGCAGAAGAAGCACCGGCUAACUCCGUGCCAGCAGCCGCGGUAAUUC
rnacentral:rRNA from 1 species